CUCCGUCAUCGCUGGCAAAGAGGACA
rnacentral:misc_RNA from 1 species